GAAAUUUGCAGCACGAGGUCCACAUUGCUAUUCGUGACCCACAAAGAAGAGCUGGUGGACAAGUACAGAGGCCUGUGAGAGGUACCCUUCACUCUGCCCAGUGUCUUCCACUUCCCAGACCCUGCGGUUUAAUUGGAGAAAGAACACUGGAGUAGGAAGCUGGAACCCUUAUUGCCAAUUACUCAGGUCUGUGAGCACACGGAAGAAAGCACAUCUCUCUUGGGCAAACCCUCUCCAUUUCUUCUUCUCUUUUAAACAGAGGAGCCUCAAGUCUUUUAUCUCUCAUCACCAGUUGUACUUUGAAGGCUGCUACUGACUAUUGUGGACGGAACAUGUGAUCUUUCAAAAAAAUCCAGUUGUUGCAAGAUGGUGC